rnacentral:rRNA from 1 species
AUGAGGCAUUUCAUAAUAACAAACUAUGAGGAAACCGCGCCAUGCAUUGAUGAACAUCUUGAGGAGCUCAUAAGGAACAAUUCUCCUAAUCCUAAAAAGCAGCACAAGGAAGAGUUUGUUGGUUGGUUUGAGAGACGGAUCACAGAACUCCACAAUGAUGGGAAGGUCAGCAAUCUUAUUUAUGCACUAGCUAAAGGACCUGAUCACGUAGCUCGGGUAUACAACCGUACAGUUUUGAAUGGAUAUUUCUUUCGGAAUUCCUGUAUAGAGCAGGACUUGAGUACAUAAAAUAGUGGCAUCAUAGUCAAGGGCGAUGCAAACACAGGAAAUAUUGAUUAUUACGGGGUGAUCAAGAAAAUCAUAUUUCUUGACUUUCCUCCUAAUAAGGAGGUUGUUCUAUUCUAGUGUGACUGGUUUGAUGUGCCUCCUGCGAACAGAACUGAGAGUAAGGCGUAUAAGAAGGACAAAUAUGGAAUUAUUGACCUUGACACUACUCUACACCAAUUCCAGGGAGACCCUUACAUUCUAGGCCUCCAAGCUCAACAGGUUUUCUAUGUGAGAGAUGUGAAGAACCUUGAUUGGGCAGCUGUUAUUAAAAUGAAUCCAUGA